rnacentral:rRNA from 1 species
UACGAAGGGGGCUAGCGUUGCUCGGAAUCACUGGGCGUAAAGCGCACGUAGGCGGCUCGCUAAGUCAGGGGUGAAAUCCUGGAGCUCAACUCCAGAACUGCCUUUGAUACUGGCAAUCUCGAGUCCGGGAGAGGUGAGUGGAACUGCGAGUGUAGAGGUGAAAUUCGUAGAUAUUCGCAAGAACACCAGUGGCGAAGGCGGCUCACUGGCCCGGUACUGACGCUGAGGCGCGACAGCGUGGGGAGCAAACAGG